GGGGUGUGGUGUUUGAGUUAUGGAUAGUGGUUGCGAGCAUCGAACACCCGAGGUUUUCGGGUGUUGAUGUGCAAUUUUUUUCGAAUUGGUUUACUCAAA
rnacentral:misc_RNA from 1 species